rnacentral:rRNA from 1 species
AGCUCCACUAGCGUAUAUUAAAGUUGCUGCAGUUAAAAAGCUCGUAGUCGGAUCUCGGGAUCGUGUCGGUGAUUUGGUUGCUUCUCCUGCGUUUCGGCGUUGGGGGUUGUGGCCGGUCAUCGGCCCUGCCGGCGAGGUCCCUACCUUUGGUGGGGUUCCACCUCGCUCGUGCAGCCCGCCGUUGCGAUUUGGCGGGUGGCCUUAAUUGGAUGCCCGUCUCGCUCGUGACCCUGUACCGUGAACAAAUCGGAGUGCUCAAAGCAGGCUCUCUAUCGCUCGAACGGUAGCGCAUGGAAUAAUGGAAGAGGACUUGCUUCCGCUUCUGUUGGUCUCACGGAGGCAGGUAAUGAUCAAGAGGGACGGACGGGGGCAGAGGUAUGUCUCGGCGAGAGGUGAAAUUCUUGGACCCUAGACAGACCCUCGAGAGCGAAAGCAUCUGCCAAGGAUGUUUCCA